rnacentral:tRNA from 7 species
GGGAGUAUGGCGAAACACGGUAAACGCUGUAGACUUGGAAUCUACUAGGGUCUCUAACACCCUUUGCGGGUUCAAAUCCCGCUACUCCCA